UAAGGAAUGUGAUGAGAGAAUAAGAUUUAUAAAUUAUAAAGUGAUAAAAUCACAUAGUAUUUGAUACAUGCAAAUGACAGAGAACAUAGUCGAAGCUUUCAAGUCUGUUUAUGUCAUGAUUAUCUUUCUUUCCUUAUUUCUUCUUUCAACAAACAUUGACGCAGCUGAAUGUUAUCAAGAUUCUGAUUGUCCAGAAGAUAUGUGCUCAUAUCUUGCAAAACCGACGUGUAUUUUCACAGAGUAUUUUCCCAUUUUUUGGAUGGCCGUAUGUGGAUGUGAUUGAUCAAUGUGUCCGUAAGAUUAUUUUAGCAAAAAUCCAUGAGCUACCAUUUUGUUAUUAUGGUAGUAAUAAAAUAAAGUAGAAAAUAGUUAUUUAGAUUGUCUUCUACCGGUACGAACCCAAUGUUGGGUCAUGUAUGGCUAAAGACAUCUAUUUCCGAAAGUUUUUUUUUUUUUUUUUUUUAUAAAUAAUAAAACACAUAACUAUAUCAAAACACAUCUUUCUCAGACGAAAUAAAUAAGUGCAAUACAUUUGUUAUAUUUAUAAACUUUUGAAGUUGGUUUUGCUCUUGUGAAUAACAACUACAAGUGUUGAACAUGUUUUUUCUGCUGCGAAAGUUGUGAAAAGUCAACUAUGUAACAAAAUGAAUGAUCAGUGGCUAAAUAACCGUCUUGUAACUUAUAUAGAAAUAGAUGUUCUUUUAACAAUUAGCAAUGAUUUAUUUUAGCGCAUUUUAAACAAAUAGAUAGCUCGCAAUUACUGUAAUUGUAUUGCAUCAAACAAUGCAUUUAUUAUUUUUGGGCUUAA